rnacentral:rRNA from 1 species
CGGGGCUUAAAGUCUUGUAAUUGGAAUGAUGGGAAUUUAAACCUCUUCCAGAGUAUCAAUUGGAGGGCAAGUCUGGUGCCAGCAGCCGCGGUAAUUCCAGCUCCAAUAGCGUAUAUUAAAAUUGUUGCAGUUAAAAAGCUCGUAGUUGAAUUUCUGCUGCAUUGCUUGUGUCCCUCUGGGGUCUGUGAAUGUGGCUUUUUUCGGACGGAGUUUCUUUGUCUGAAUGUUUACUUUGAGAAAAUUAGAGUGCUCAAAGCAGGCUUUCGCCUUGAAUAGUUUAGCAUGGAAUAAUAAAGUAGGACUUUGGUUCUAUUUUGUUGGUUUUAGGUACCAAAGUAAUGGUUAAUAGGAACAGUUGGGGGCAUUCGUAUUUAACUGUCAGAGGUGAAAUUCUUAGAUUUGUUAAAGACGAACUACUGCGAAAGCAUUUGCCAAGGAUGUUUUCAUUAAUCAAGAAC